GCCCUGGCUCUAUUCAGAGCCAUAAAUAGAACACAUUGUGUUAUU
rfam:Paxillus rubicundulus Ve08.2h10 scaffold_1462_c1, whole genome shotgun sequence.